UACGUAGGGCGCAAGCGUUGUUCGGAAUCACUGGGCGUAAAGGGAGCGUAGGCGGCGUGGUAAGUCAGAUGUGAAAUCCCGGGGCUCAACCCCGGAACUGCAUCCGAUACUGCCGUGCUCGAGGGUUGGAGAGGUAGCUGGAAUUAUCGGUGUAGCAGUGAAAUGCGUGGAUAUCGAUAGGAACACUCGUGGCGAAGGCGAGCUACUGGACAACAUCUGACGCUGAGGCUCGAAGGCCAGGGGAGCAAAAGGG
rnacentral:rRNA from 1 species